UACGGGGGGAGCAAGCGUUGUUCAGAUUUACUGGGCGUAAAGGGCGCGUAGGCGGCCAGCGCAAGUCAGUUGUGAAAUCUCCGGGCUUAACUCGGAAAGGUCAACUGAUACUGCGCGGCUAGAGUGCAGAAGGGGCAACUGGAAUUCUCGGUGUAGCGGUGAAAUGCGUAGAUAUCGAGAGGAACACCUGCGGCGAAGGCGGGUUGCUGGGCUGACACUGACGCUGAUGCGCGAAAGCCAGGGGAGCGAACGGG
rnacentral:rRNA from 1 species